UGUCCGAUGGUGUAAUGGUAACACUGCAGAUUUUGGUUCUGCCUUUCUAGGUUCGAAUCCUAGUCGGACAA
rnacentral:tRNA from 1 species